rnacentral:rRNA from 1 species
AUUGAACGCUGGCGGCAGGCUUAACACAUGCAAGUCGAGCGGGGGAGGUUGCUUCGGUAACUGGCCUAGCGGCGGACGGGUGAGUAAUGCUUAGGAAUCUGCCUAUUAGUGGGGGACAACAUUCCGAAAGGGAUGCUAAUACCGCAUACGCCCUACGGGGGAAAGCAGGGGAUCUUCGGACCUUGCGCUAAUAGAUGAGCCUAAGCCGGAUUAGCUAGUUGGUGGGGUAAAGGCCUACCAAGGCGACGAUCUGUAGCGGGUCUGAGAGGAUGAUCCGCCACACUGGGACUGGGACACGGCCCAGACUCCUACGGGAGGCAGCAGUGGGGAAUAUUGGACAAUGGGCGGAAGCCUGAUCCAGCCAUGCCGCGUGUGUGAAGAAGGCCUUUUGGUUGUAAAGCACUUUAAGCGAGGAGGAGGCUCUUAAGGUUAAUACCCUUGAUGAGUGGACGUUACUCGCAGAAUAAGCACCGGCUAACUCUGUGCCAGCCGCCGCCGUAAAAC